UCAAGCUAAUAAGAGCGCAAGGGGAAUGCCUUGGCAUCAGGAGCCGAUGAAGGACGUGACAAGCUGCGAAAAGCUUCGGGGAGCUGCAAAUGAGCAUUGAUCCGGAGAUAUCCGAAUGGGGAAACCCGGUACGGCAAUACCGUAUCAACGUGCUGUGAAUCAAAUAGCAGUACGUAGGGAACCGCCUGAACUGAAACAUCUAAGUAGGGCGAGGAAAAGACAUCAACCGAGAUUCCGCUAGUAGUGGCGAGCGAACGCGGAAGAGGCCAAACCGAAGGUAGCAAUAUCUUCGGGGUUACGGACAGACAUCAUGAUCAGAGGUAUCUAGACGAACGGCAUGGGAAGGCCGGCGAGACAGUGUGAGAGCCACGUAGUCGAAAGAGAAGACUGACAGUCUGGAUCCAGAGUACCGCAGGACACGAGGAACCCUGUGGGAAGUCGGGGGGACCACCCUCCAAGCCUAAAUACUACCUGAUGACCGAUAGAGGAGAAGUACCGUGAGGGAAAGGUGAAAAGAACCCCGGGAGGGGAGUGAAAUAGUACCUGAAACCUUGUGCUUACAAGCAGUUACAGCCCGUUAAAGGGUGGUAGCGUACUUUUUGUAGAACGGUCCGGCGAGUUAUAGUCACUAGCGAGCUUAAGACAUUCAGUGUUGGAGGCGUAGGGAAACCGAGUCUGAACAGGGCGAAUGAAGUUAGUGGCCAUAGACCCGAAACCAUGUGACCUAGCCAUGAGCAGGAUGAAGUGGAGGUAAAGCUCCAUGGAGGUCCGAACGCACGUUCGUUGCAAUGACCGGCGAUGACUUGUGGCUAGCGGUGAAAUUCCAAUCGAACUUGGAGAUAGCUGGUUCUCCCCGAAAUAGCUUUAGGGCUAGCGUUGGGAAUGAGUUUAGCGGAGGUAAAGCACUGAAUGAGCUAGGGGGCGCAAGCUUACUGAACUCUAUCAAACUAAGAAUGCCGCAUAAAUGCUUCCCAGCAGUCAGACUGCGAGUAAUAAAAUCCGUGGUCAAAAGGGUAACAGCCCAGACCCACAGCUAAGGUCCCCAAUACAUGCUAAGUGGAAAACGAUGUGAGAUUGCAUAAACAACCAGGAUGUUGGCUUAGAGGCAGCCACUCGUUCAAAGAGUGCGUAAUAGCUCACUGGUCGAGUGAUCUUGCGCGGAAAAUUUAACGGGGCUAAGCAUGUAACCGAAGCUUGGGAUUGCGCAAUGCGCAGUGGUAGGGGAGCGUCGUGUACGGGGUGAAGUACGAUCGAGAGGACGUGUGGACUGUACACGAGUGAGAAUGCCGGAAUGAGUAGCGAGAAUUAUGUGGGAAUCAUAAUGGCCGAAAAUCUAAGGUUUCUUGGGGAAGGUUCGUCCGCCCAAGGUAAGCCGGGAGCUAAGGCGAGGCCGAAAGGCGUAGUCGAUGCACAUACGGUUGAAAUUCCGUAGCCACCUUAUCGAUCAAAGCUGACACAUGGAGAUAGCCGAACCCGGGCGUUGGUUGACCCGGGCGAAAGGGACCGAACUACAGUAGGGAAGUCGGCGAUGCUCUGUGGCGAGAAAAGGCGAAGAUAGGGUGCCCGUACCGCAAACCGACACAGGUAGAUGAGGAGAGAAUCCUAAGGCCAACGGGAGAAAGGUUGUUAAGGAACUCGGCAAAAUUGCCCCGUAACUUCGGGAGAAGGGGCGCCCUCGAAAGAGGGCCGCAGUGAAAAGGCCCAAGCGACUGUUUACCAAAAACACAGGUCUCUGCUAAAUCGAAAGAUGACGUAUAGGGGCUGACGCCUGCCCGGUGCUGGAAGGUUAAGAGGAGGACUUAGCGCAAGCGAAGGUCUGAAUUUAAGCCCCAGUAAACGGCGGCCGUAACUAUAACGGUCCUAAGGUAGCGAAAUUCCUUGUCAGGUAAGUUCUGACCCGCACGAAUGGCGUAACGAUUUGGGCACUGUCUCAACAGCCUACCCGGCGAAAUUGUAGUACCGGUGAAGAUGCCGGUUACCCGCAACUAGACGGAAAGACCCCAUGGAGCUUUACUGCAGCUUAAUACUGAGAUUCGGUAAUUCAUGUACAGG
rnacentral:rRNA from 1 species